GCGAGUGUUUUGUUGUGGAAGUAUUAGAAGAAUGUGUAAGAAACAUACGGUGUUCAUGAUGCAACUUCCUGGAUGGUGUGUAAACUGUUUAUCAGCAUGUGAAAUCCACAUGAUUGAAGGAGAAGUCUCCCUUGUUAAAGAUCAGCAAUGGCAGAUAAACAAUGCAUGAUGCAAUCUACUCACUAAAAGGAUUAUACCAAUACAUCUAAUGCAUGUAUUUCUACCUAUCACCUAUGUAACCUUUGUCAUGCUCUUCAGAGAGUCAUCAACAGGAAAAGGAAUUACCGGUAAGUUGACAGGACUUUCCACACUGUUUCUGGUAGCAGCUUAUGAUUGAAUUGAUGGUAGAAGACAUGGCCC